rnacentral:rRNA from 1 species
GGGGAAUAUUGCACAAUGGGCGAAAGCCUGAUGCAGCAACGCCGCGUGAGCGAUGAAGGCCUUCGGGUCGUAAAGCUCUGUCCUCAAGGAAGAUAAUGACGGUACUUGAGGAGGAAGCCCCGGCUAACUACGUGCCAGCAGCCGCGGUAAUACGUAGGGGGCUAGCGUUAUCCGGAAUUACUGGGCGUAAAGGGUGCGUAGGCGGUCUUUCAAGCCAGAAGUGAAAGGCUACGGCUCAACCGUAGUAAGCUUUUGGAACUGUAGGACUUGAGUGCAGGAGAGGAGAGUGGAAUUCCUAGUGUAGCGGUGAAAUGCGUAGAUAUUAGGAGGAACACCAGUAGCGAAGGCGGCUCUCUGGACUGUAACUGACGCUGAGGCACGAAAGCGUGGGGAGCAAAC